rnacentral:misc_RNA from 1 species
GAUGAAGAACGCAGCGAAAUGCGAUACGUAAUGUGAAUUGCAAAUUCAGUGAAUCAUCGAGUCUUUGAACGCACAUUGCGCCCCCUGGAAUUCCGGGGGGCAUGCCUGUUCGAGCGUCUCAGGGACGAACCCUCGCGCGGGUGUACGCGCGGUCGUGGCUGCGGUGGCGUGCCCGAGGCGGCGGCCACCGCGCUGGAAUCCAUGGGCGGACGCCUGCCGCGUGGCCGAGCGUGAUAUGACGCAUUGGCGCUCGCACGCGGAGAGGCUGCCAGCCCUGGCCCGUCUGUCGGGCGGGGGAGAGCAAGACACGUGAACUCCUCGAAUCAGGUAGGGAUACCCGCUGAACUUAAGCAUAUCAAUAAGCGGAGGA